AUGCUAACAUGUGGAUUGCUACCGUACACUUCUGUAGUGGUGAGAGCCCUGGUCGUUGGUGGCAUGUGUCUUAUGAGUAAAAUAUGGAUCCCACUCACUGAGCGCAUUCACAAUUCUCAAGAACAAAAGCCUACUCAUACGAAACCUUCUGCAGAACAUCUCAUCUGUGUACAUUGGAUUUUCGGAGAAGUAACAGUGCAAGAGGUUCUGAUGGGCUAUUUCACCAAUCCUAUGUAUGUACCUUCUUGCACCACUUCGACGGAGAGAUUACUCAACAUUUUGUUCCUCGAGCCUGGUGAUCAACCUAUCAAUGACCCAAUCAAAUAUUUCUCGCUCCACGAUGAAGACUUCCCAAGUGUUGAUACCAUCGAUUGGGUCACAAUUGGUCAAGCUAUCAUCCCCGUUAAUGGAAGACGAUAUCAUUGA
rnacentral:rRNA from 1 species